rnacentral:rRNA from 1 species
UACGUAGGGGGCUAGCGUUGUCCGGAAUCAUUGGGCGUAAAGAGCGUGUAGGCGGUCCGGUAAGUCCGCUGUGAAAGUCCGGGGGCUCAACCCUCGAAUGCCGGUGGAUACUGUCGGGCUAGAGUGCGGAAGAGGCGAGUGGAAUUCCGUGGUGUAGCGGUGAAAUGCGUAGAUAUCAGGAGGAACACCGAGUGGCGAAGGCAGGUCUCUGGGCUGACACUGACGCUCGAUGCACGAAAGCGUGGGGAGCAAACAGG